GAAAAAACCUUGCACUAAAAAUUGUAGUUUAUUUUUAGUAUCUGUUGGGAGUCUUCAAAUACAGAAAGAAAGUUUAUCGUUACUUGUGUUUUAAUUCACAUUCACUUUUUAAACUUAAACCAGAUAUUCUCAUGGAUCUUUUUAUCUCAAGUCUAUUUCAUGAAAAUAUACUUCUGUUUUACUUCCGUUUUAUUACAUUUGACAGAUUAAAUUACCAAGUAUUUAAUGUUUUACUUACAUAUUUAUCAAUUUCCUUAGAAUGUCUGAAUAAAUUUGAUUCUCUUUAACACUUAGACAAGAUUUUAGAUUUAACGAACAAGUUUUUUUCAAGCACCAAAGCAACUCUUGCCCAUCUAAUCAGAUUAAGCCAGUAAGCAUAAUUUUAAGCAUUUUAAAAAGAGACAGCAUACACAAAACUACAUGAUUAGAAGGUUUGAUACCACACUUGGGUAAAUGCAGGCUCCCCUUUUUUAAUUAAAAAAGCAUUUUUAUCUCAGACUUCACUAUUAAGGUCCAGGCUCCCUGCUCCGUUUCCAAUCCUGCAUCUCAUGCUUCAGGUGCCUGGUAGAGGCAGGGCAAGAUGUGAAACCCUUUGACCACCAGAUGGCAGCAGAGGGCCAUGCUGCCGGGGACCCUUCCUGGUUCCAGAAAAGGGUGGGGCAAAGCUGUGAGCAGUGGCCUCAGAAGAGCCCACGCUGGAGCCAGCAAGUCAGUCCAGGAAGCCGGAGGGUAAACUGCUGAGCCAAAGGGUCAUCCUUGUACUAGUUCAUUUGGGAAAUAGUAAGGAGACAACAGGGUUCAGAAUGUCAGAACAAAGAACAAAAAAUGAGGAGUGAGCCAGAAUUCCCAGCCAUUCAUCAUUCCAUUUCAAAUGGAAAAAGGCAGAACAGCCAGAGGUUGGAAUGGAUUGGAGUUGUGUGGUAGCUGGAACUUGAUAGCAAGAGCUCUUAAAUCAUCAGUUUUAAUUCCCUCCUUUGGUCCCUGUAAGGAGCCACAAAAUUGAAACUUUUUAGGUGCUUUCCAAAGGAAGAGCAGGGAAUGCUCCGUUAUCAUUUCUUAAUCCGAAGGCAAAUUGUAUUGGGCUCUUCAGGAGAGGGAUGGGCAGGAAUGGUAAAAUUUGCAGGAAAUAAGUUUCUGGGGCAUCAUCAACAAUAAAGAUAGAAUCACAGUCUGCGUUUUACUUCUCUCCCCUUAUUUUGCUUCCAAUAGUUAAAUUAGUGAUACUCACAUAUUUGAGAAAACUCAGAUUUUUUUCUUCCCCUAUAAGCAGUUACUGAAAACUCUCAAUGAUCGUUUUCAGGUGGGAGAAGGCAUCAAGAUUAGGUCCAUAAGGUGUCAUUUUAUUGGAAUAUUUUAAAAGGAUACUUGAUAUGUAAGAACUGCGAUUUAGAAAUAGUAACGGCUUGCCAUUUAUCGAGGGUUUACCCCGUGCAGGGUAUUGUUGCACUGCGACUCCCUGACGGGCCAUGCCAGAAUCAGCUGGGGAUUCGUUCUCCCUGCAAAUCCUCAGUUUGGCCCAAAUCUGCUGAAUCAGAAAGCCCAGGAGUGGGACCCGGCCAUUGGUGUUCGAACACACCAUCCAGGGGAUUCUGACGCGGGCUCACGUUUGAGAACCCCUGGGGUUGACUCUUUUUUCCCUUCAGUCCUUACAACAAGCUGGAGACGUGAAGAUGUUUAUUUUCACCCCCACUUUAUAGCUGGAGACUCUGAGGCCGGAGACCUUAAAUGAUCUGCCCGAUGACGCUGAGUUCUGAAGCGGCAGAGCUGGGAUUUGAGCCCGGGGAAGUGGGACUUCAGAGCUUAGAUGCUUGACCUCUGACUUUUUGUGGUAUCUGGCUUCUGGCUUAUGACAACACAUACUGAACUGAUGAGGUAAGAGCCGUCAUAGGUCGACCCCUGCGAGGCCUCCACACACCUGCAGGCGUGUGAGUGGCCAGAGGGGGCUGGUGGUGGCUGGCUGCCACUGCCUCGGCUUCCUGCCAAAUCAAUGGAAGAUGAUCAGUCAGAAGUGAUGCAAGAUGCCCAGGAACGUGAGAGUUGGCCUUAGCUGAGGCAGUGAUUUUCAGACUUGAAUGGCCAUCCGAAUUGCCUGCUGCGUGCAAGAUAGUCUCGCUUCAGGUGAAACCUGAGCGACAAAAGCUGUGAGAGUCUCCGCGGACAGACUUCAGAGUGUUUGGCAACUGUCCCUGAGGGGCUCCUGGCAACGAACACUGCCUGACUGAAAUGCUGUUUAGUCACUUAGAGGAGAAAGGACAAUUUUGUGAAGAGUCCACCAUCGGAAGAUUAUGUUACUGUGGGAGUUCCCACUGUGGCUCAGCAGGUUCAAAACCCAACUAGUAUCCAUGAGGAUGUGGGUUCGAUCCCUGGCCCCGCUCAGUGGGUUAAGGAUCUGGCAUUGCUGUGAGCUGCAGUGUAGGUCACAGACGUGGUUCGGAUCUGGUGUUGCUGUGGCUGUGGUGCAGGUCAGCAGCUGCAGCUCUGAUUCGACCCCCAGCCUGGGGACUUCCUUAUGCCGAGGGUGCGGCCCUAAAAAGACAAAAAUAACAAUAAUAAUAUAAUAAUAAAGAUUACUUUACCAUGGUCAAGAGAUUUUACAUCGCUCUGAGGUGUAUGAGUGGCUGGUGUACAGUGACCCACCCCAGACUGGACUGAGAUUCAGUCACAAGCUUUGUAGUAAGUCAGUCUGUCCGUGAUUUAAAUUCAACUUUUUCUUUUGUUCUUAAAUUCCUACCUUGUGCCAAACACUAGGUUAGGAGUUGGGGAUAUGAAAGAGCCUUGACUUUCACGGGCUAAGAGUGUGUUGGGCAUUACAGAGAAAUAGAAGGGGGCAUUAAUUGUCUACUUUUGCAUAACAAAUUGUCCCCAAAUGUAGCAUCUUAAAAACAACAUACAGUCAUCAGUUCACAGUUUCUAUAGGUCAGAAACCUGAGCAUCACUUAGCUUUAUAAUUAAUGACCAAGUAGAAAAAAAAAAAUUGGGGGGAAGCAGAGACUGUAUAAGGAAACACCAGCUACACAAGAUAUAAUUAAACCAGCACCAUGAAAAUAAUUGGGAUAUUAUGAAAGCCUCAGAGGGUGAGGGAACAAGUUGGGUUUAUCCCAGCGAUUCAAAUUCAGAGACUUGUUAAGAAAACAGGAAUCAUAAAACAAUCUAUUUAGAUAAAUCUGUCGUUUAGAAAAUUCAAACAUGUACAAUUAGGAUAAAUAAGAGUAUGGCAGAGUUCAAAAUAACAUACAAAAUUACUGCGGCUCCUAGAGACAAGCAGCAAUUAAUUAGAAAAUGUUACAAAAUAAAUCCUAUUAGGUUAAUCAUGGAAACGCUACCACUGUGCGGCAAUAAACCUCGCAAAAGAUGGGCAAGACUUUUAGGGUAAAACAUACAUUUUUUGGGAAAGACAGCGAACCAAAGAAUUUCACCAUGUUGCGGGAGGGAAAAUCCAAUAUGACUAAGAGGUGACUUCAAAUUAAGUUAUAAAUGCAAAAAUCAGACCUUGUUGGAGGGGUCAUGGAGAGGACGUGACCUCUGGCUGCCCCGCGAGCUGGGGGUGACGGGAGGCCGCCGCCCCGCCCCCGCCGCGUGCCCGCGGGGAAAGGCCAUUUUCAAGGGCGCGCCUCGAGCGGGUGGUCGAGACCGUCUGGAUGGAACACCCGCUGGCUGAACCCCUUUAAGGCGUCUACGCAGACGUGGAAGGUUCUGGCGGGAGGCGCUGAGACGUCUCGGUCCCGUUGGAGGAAGACCAGCCUGGCCGGUGAGUUUCCUGCUUCUUGAACCUUCCACGGCCGGGUUUCGACUCGGUUUGGACGCUCGCCUCUUUCCUGCGUCUCCCCCUGCCCCCGUGUUGGGGCGCCCGGUGCAGCUUUCACCUGGCACUGGGAGAGCUUGCGAGCCAGCAGGAAAGGCAGGGCCAGGCAGACCUGCUUGUGGGAACCGCACAGACACAGGCGCUUUUCACAGGAAAGUUCCAGGCACCUGCGCAGUUGUCCCCACGGCGUCUACUCCCUGCCUGGCCCUGCCUCCCGAGCUGGUGUUUCUCCAAAUAUUCCAAACCUUUUAGCGUGGUGGCUUUUGGGUUUUGGUUUUUGUUUUUUUGGCAAAAAAGUAAUGUCUGAUGAGACUGGGCAGCAGGGUUGAGAGUGGAAAGGCUGGGCCCCGUUCUUUCUGGAAGUUACCCCCGGAGGGCUGGGAGCUGCGGGCAGCCCAGGGGGCUCUGAUUCCUCGUGAAACUGGUCAUGUAGCUGCACAAGGCAAGAGUGCAGACAUAGGGCUAGGGACUCAGAGAAUAAGAGGGUUAAGGAGAAGAUUAAAAAAAUUUGUGAAAAGCCCCCCCCCCCCCCCGCACUGUUGUGGGCAGGGGUGUAAAUUGGUGAAGCCACGGUGAAGACCAGUACAGAGGUUCCUUUAAAAACUAAAACUAGAGUUACCACAUGGGAUCCAGCCGUUCCCCUCCAGGGCAUCUCUCUGGAAUAGAUGAAAACUCUAAUUCGAAAACAUACAUGCACUUCUAUGUUCAGAGCAGCCCUGGUCACAAUAGCCGAGCCCUGAAAACAACCUCAGUGUUCAUUGCCAGGUAAAGAAGUUGUGGUCCAUAUAUACAAUGGAAUAUCACUCAGCUAUCAACAAAAUGUAUGGACGCAAAAAAAAAAAACAAAAACAAAAACAAAAAAG
rnacentral:lncRNA from 1 species